rnacentral:rRNA from 1 species
GACGAACGCUGGCGGCGUGCCUAAUACAUGCAAGUAGAACGCUGAAGAGAGGAGCUUGCUCUUCUUGGGUGAGUUGCGAACGGGUGAGUAACGCGUAGGUAACCUGCCUGGUAGCGGGGGAUAACUAUGGGAAACGAUAGCUAAUACCGCAUAAAAUUGAUUAUUGCAUGAUAAUUAAUUGAAAGAUGCAACUGCAUCACUACCAGAUGGACCUGCGUUGUAUUUGCUAGUUGGGUAAGUAACGGCGCACCAAAGCGAAGAUACAAUGCCGACCCGAGAGGGUGAUCGGGCACACUGGGAAUGAGACACGGCCCAGACUCCUACGGGAGGCAGCAGAAGGGAAUCUUCGGCAAUGGGGGGAACCCUGACCGAGCAACGCCGCGUGAGUGAAGAAGGGUUUCGGAUCGUAAAGCUCUGUUGUAAGAGAAGAACGGGUGUGAGAGUGGAAAGUUCACACUGUGACGGUAUCUUACCAGAAAGGGACGGCUAACUACGUG